rnacentral:tRNA from 1 species
GGAGAGGUGCUAGAGUGGUUGAAUAGGUCGGUCUUGAAAACCGAUAUAGCCGCAAGGUUAUCGCGAGUUCGAAUCUCGCCCUCUCCGC